AGUGAACGCUGGCGGUAGGCCUAACACAUGCAAGUCGAACGGCAGCACAGUAAGAGCUUGCUCUUACGGGUGGCGAGUGGCGGACGGGUGAGGAAUACAUCGGAAUCUACUUUUUCGUGGGGGAUAACGUAGGGAAACCUACGCUAAUACCGCAUACGACCUACGGGUGAAAGCAGGGGAUCUUCGGACCUUGCGCGAUUGAAUGAGCCGAUGUCGGAUUAGCUAGUUGGCGGGGUAAAGGCCCACCAAGGCGACGAUCCGUAGCUGGUCUGAGAGGAUGAUCAGCCACACUGGAACUGAGACACGGUCCAGACUCCUACGGGAGGCAGCAGUGGGGAAUAUUGGACAAUGGGCGCAAGCCUGAUCCAGCCAUACCGCGUGGGUGAAGAAGGCCUUCGGGUUGUAAAGCCCUUUUGUUGGGAAUGAAAAGCAGCAGGUUAAUACCCCGCUGUUCUGACGGUACCCAAAGAAUAAGCACCGGCUAACUUCGUG
rnacentral:rRNA from 1 species